ensembl:lncRNA
UUUUUUUUUUUUUUUUUUGUCAGGCAUUGCUAGUCCCCCAAUUUAUUUCCAUUCAUAUGUGAUAAUGAAGCCUAGAAUUGGCUCCUCCAAAGCAAGUUCAAGCUUGUUACCUGCAUUUAGUAAAAUAUUGAUUAUCUCUUCUCCCAAAUGGCAGCACUCCUAGUCCAGCAGUAUGGGAUGGAGGCAAGGGAAAAGAACUAUAUCUUUCCCCAUAUAUCCAUAUUCUGAGGGCAAAUUUAAGCGCUGUUUCUAAGCAAUCUAAGUUAUCAGAGAUAGGUUGAUAAGUAAAAGGAGCAAGAUAUGGUCAUAAGAUAAGGGGUUUUGGAGCCAGGCAGACAUAAUUUUCAUUCUUAUUCUCAUCCUCACUAGGUCAGGGACCUUAGGCCAUUAAAUGACUUACUUGUGUUUUAUCAUAAGCAAAAUUGAGACUAUAGCCCUGAUUUGCAGAAUUAAUUAGAGGAAAAGAAAUAAUGUGCAUAAGUGUAUAGCAAAGAGCCUAGCCCAUUUUGGGCAUUUUAAUGAACAGUAGCUAUUUUCUCCAUGAUGUUACUGAUUUAAUAAGCAAGAGAAGGGUGCUUUCAUGCCAGGUAUCAGGCCUCCUCUUAACAGCACAUUCUCAGUGCACCAUCUGGAUUUUAACAAGAUCCCCAGGAGAUUUAUAUGCACUUUGAAGUUUGAGACGUGCCGACAAUGCCUACAUGGUAGGUUGUUGUGAGCAGUAAGUGAACUGAUAGAUGUAAACACUUAGAAACUGACAUAAAUACUAAGUGCUGAGUAGAUGUUAGCUAUUAUUUGUUUUAUUUUACAUCAAAUUAUACCUCAAGUGACAAGGUUUGUCUCAAGCUUCCUGUGAUCUUUCCAUUAUCCUCUUAUUAAUUAUUCCAUUUUUUUGUUGUUUGUGCACCACAAACAUCUUCGUAGGUAAUUUUGAUAAUUCAUUUUCUUAGACUCUUCCCUGUCAGACUCAAAGAUCUUCAAGGACACGUGAGUGUCUUUUAUAUCCUUGUUCUCUGGCCCAGGACAGUGCGAGAAGAGACCUCCAAUAAAUAUGAGCUGAAUAAAUGAUAUAAACAUAUACAUCUAACAAGAACAACAACAGCAAACAGGAACAGUUCCAAGUGGAUGACAUGAGGAAUACUUACCAGAAAGACUCAAAGAAUGCUAAGGUGUUUCGAGAAAUAUCCUUAGUAAGAAUGAAAUUUAAGCUAUUUUUGAACAAUGUAGAUAUUUGGGAGUUUAAGAGAAAGACAUGGUGUAAAUUUGGGUGCAGGUAAUGAUGUGAGUGAAACUUAAAAAAUGGGUUGCAAGUAACAGGUUCACAGGAGCAAGAAUCGAUAGGUGUUUCUGGAACAGAGAGUUCUUUGCAGAACUGUAGUAGAAAACAUAAGUUGUGAACUCACAUGCUGAAGAUCCUCAGCAAAAAGUUUGAAAAGAGAACACUUGAAAGUUGUUGAGCUGGAAGCAAACAUGCUUGACAUGUUUCUCCUUUUAAAAGGAGAAAUAAAAAGCAUAUUAACUGCCUCUGCUUCUUUUUUUGCCAGUCCUUGAAGAGACGCAAACAGCUAACAAGUCCACGUGGUCACUUAUGAGUUUCAAAGUUUUUUAAUUUUUAUAAUUAUUCUCACAGGUGUUGUCAUUGUUUUCUGGUUUGAAAAUACUCCAAAGGGUUAUAUUUCUUCUACAAGAUUACAGUGGAAUGUGACUGAGCAAUUCGAGGUCCACUUUAUGUCCUGAAUUUGAGGUACUGUGGAUGAGUAGUGAAAAGAUGUGUUGACUCGAUGUAGAUGGUGUGUGGUCAGCAGGUCUUGUUGAUUUGUUUGGUGACUCUCUUGCAGACAUUUCAAUUUGGUGCUUUAGCAAAUUUUCCAGUGUCUCUACACCAUUGGUCAGAAGAGUAGUCCACAGAGUAUGCCAAUGAGUUUGUGAGUAUGCUAAGGUAUGCUAAGGGUUUUUUUUUUUUUUUUUUCCCUUGUUUUUUUAGGGCUGUACCAUGGCAUAUGGAGGUUCCCAGGCCAGGGGUCGAAUCAGAGCUGUAGCUGCUGGCCUAUGCCACAGCCACAGCAAUGUCAGAUCCAAGCCGCAUCUGUGACCUCACCACAGCUCACCACAACACCAGCUACUUAACCCACUGAGCGAGACCAGGGAUCAAACCUGCAUCCUUAUGGAUGCUAGUCAGAUUCGUUUCUGCUGAGCCACAACAGGAACUCCCUGCUAAGGAUAUUUUACGUGGAUUCCUCAGAAUGAAGUGGGGGCUUUGCAUUUCUAUUGGAGUUGAAUUUACUAAGAAAGAAUUUAUGAGAACAGCUGAUUUGUCCUUAAUAUUCUGUGUUUCCUUUGUACUGUAGAUAAAACAGGAAGAGUCAAAGAGGAUCAGAAAUAAAUCUUAUCUCUUUUGAUUUAUUUAACUGCUUAUGUCUUUAUCCUGUUGACUGAUUCUUUUCUGGAUUAUACUCCUUGUAAGCAGGAACAUGACCUUCUUUUUUCUGACUUAUUGUUUAAAAAAGGUGCAGGCUAGAGGUGAAUACACAGGAGUUCAAUAAAAACUUACUAAAUAGUUGAAGUUCAAAAACAUUGUUAGUAAGCAUCCAUUUUCUAGGUAUACAGCUAAUGUUCCUGCUGUUUUAUGCAUGCAGAUGAAACAGCCGAGUGGUCUGUAUUACAUCUUGGGCUUCGGGUCCCUAAGGGCCAUAAAUUACCCCUCCCAGAGACUGCUCAAUAUACCUGUGCAGAGGCAGCCUAUAAUUACAAGGUUCUUGGGAGGGAACAGAGUGACCAGAUCACAGCGAUGUGUAAAAGAGCCUUGUUAGAGAGUGAGGGGAGGACAUUGGGGUAAAGAAUGAU